UGUCCUUUCAUGGACCCUUAGAUCAGCCUGGACCGUCUACCCCUGCCAGACUACCCUAUUGGCCCUAAUGCCUAAGGGAUGGUUGCAAAUCAGCUUCUCCACCUCAGGAAGCCUGGGAACAUGGCCAACACGGAUGCAGCGGUGCUCAAGCUGUGUCCUUGGGGUCACCUUGAAGGAUAACUACCUGCAACAAGGAGGAGGAGGAGCUGGAACCCAAGCUGGUGCAUCUGGGAAGCUGGCUCCAGGGCCACCCUGACCUGUUCAUUUCAUCUGUGUAUCGUGCAUCUGGAAAAGUCUUCAUCUGAAGAGUAACAGUCAUGGCUGCAAGAGUUUCGGAAAAGUACCAGGCCAUCUAGCCAUUGUCGAUUCUUCCCCCACUGCAUAGCAAGAGAUGAACCUGACACCAGCCAGCUCGGGCAGUUCCGGAACAUGGACCCUGGAUUUUGUGUGGGGCAGGCAGCUCCCGCUUGUCCGAGGCUUAGGAGGUUCCAGCCAUCUUGGAGGCAUCAUUCUGACCUUCACAGGGACCAGGGUCAAGACAGCUGCAAGAAGGAAAAGGAGUUUCCGAAGCGCAAUGGGAAACCCUGAACAGAUUGUCAGCAGAAGCCCAAGGUCACCUGAGGCAGAACUUUCCGCUCCGCCUGACAGCGCUUUCCAAGCCUGUCCCUUACCCGGCCGCUGCUCCGUCUGUCUCGGCCUUAGCUCCAGUCUUACUGGUCCAGAGGAUGCCAGUUCUACCACGAAAGAUGCCCUCCUCUCUCUCCCAAGUCCCACAGUGUCAUCUCUGCUUCACUGUCUGCCUGACACUCCUCAUUUUGAGGCAGAUCCCCAGAAGGAAACUGGUGGGAAAGUAGGAGGAAAGGCUGAGCAUCCUUGCUUCACCUCAACCUUCCACCGUGAUGCGCCUGCCUUGGAACUGGCCAGCCACAGACUGAAUCCCUUUAAAACCUGCUGACUUGGCUGUCACUGGCCCUCUUGGAGCAGAAGUCACCAUCUGGAGGCUGGGACCAGGCACGGUGAGCAUCAACCACGAAGAUGCUCAUGAAGACAGACAGGAGGCACAGAGCCUGCAACACUGCCACAACCCAUUUUUUGUUGACAUAAACCUUGUUCUCCCAACAACCCUGUCAGGUAAGUAUUACUAUCAUUUUGUGUUUAUUUUUAAUUAUAAAGUCACAGAAACUCUUACUCAUGCCAAGCCGGCCUGCUGGAGGCCAUCUCAUUACCCUCAUUCUUGUAGAAGAUGUAAUCAAGGUCAGGGAGAUGCAGCAACAUGUGCAAAGUCCCCGUGGCAAGACUUUGAUCACCCCUACUACAUAUUUAUUCUUAAUGAAGAAUUGGAAACCUUUGCUAGGCACAGGGGUCUUGCUAUGUGACGACUGGGAAGUGAUGUGGUUAUAUGGCGGCACUUCCUCUAGCUCUUGUGGAAACCACAGGAAGUAGGCACUCCUGUCACUCACCUCGGAGAUGGAGACAGAGCUGAACUCUAAACCCAGCGCUGUCUGAUUGCUCCUUGUGGCUCUUGUCACUAUCCACUCCAUGUGGAGUCACGGUUCACGUGGAGAUCAGGUUAAAAAAUCUGGGCAUGGGAGCCGGGCUUGAAGGCACACACCUGUGAUCCCAGCACUUAGCACUCAGGAGGCUGAGACAGGAGAAUGGCAAGUUGGAGGCCAGCCCAAGCUACAGGGUGAGUUUGAGCCCAGCCUGGACCAUACAGUGAGACUCUGUCUCAAGAAAACAAAAUGAAACAGAACAACAACAAUAGAAAAAAUAGGAACAUGGAGCAAAAUCCACACAUAGUGAAAAUUACUCUCGAAAAUCUCAUGAGCCUCCUCUGAAGUAAAGUGUAUCCUAUUUAUUUAGUAAUUAAUAGGGAAAAAGGCAGGGUCUAUCUCAGGGCUGUGUCAUGUUAGAAAAGUGGCUUUCGACACCAGAAUCCACCGUGGCAGAGUCUGGUUGGAUGCUCACGAAUUCUAUUUAUUUCCUCUCCAGAUGCACAGAAAGAUCCUAUUUCCUGUCUUUUACUGUUAAAUUUGGGCUUUGUGAUUGGGAUCUGGCCAGUGGGAUAUGGAUAGAAGUGAUGGAGUCACUUCUAAGCUUGGUUCUUAAAUACUUAGGGGCCGGGGAUUUAACUCAGUGGUGCCACCGCCUGCCUUGCAAGCGAAAGGUCCUGAGUUUGAUCCCUGGUACCAAAACCAAAACCAAAACAAAACAAAAAACUAAAUACUUAUGUGAUUCUAUAGUCCAGGAGUUGGCAGACUAUGGUCCUCUGCUCGUUGUUUUGAAUAAAGUUUCGUUGGAACAUUCUCCGUUCCUUGUUCGCAUUGUGCCUAGUAAUGCUAAGCACACACCCAAAUAUAAAUAUCUGGGGGCCUCACUCCUGCAAGGUCACAGGUCAAAGACAUUGGCUCUUGAGUCACUGCUUAGAGGAUGGCCACCAAGGAGCGCCUCGGGCUGACGUGAAUGUGCCACUGGGCAGUAAUCCGCCCUUCGUGUGCUCUGCCACUUAGAGGUUGGCCCUGGACUCUGUGGAGACCACAGAUUCACCAGCACCUUCUCACACGCGCUGCCCUGGGUGUGGGUUGAGGGUCGAGUCUGUGCUCACUGUUCGCCUUUCUCUUUGUUCGCUUGUGUUUGCUUCCCCUCACUGAGCACACAUAGCUGAGUUUUCAUCCAUCACAUGUGGGCGCGAUGCGUCUGCACCUCCACCACCCCUGCACCUUCACCAUCAAAGCAUCUUUGAGCGACUUGCAUUUGGCAGUGGCUGAAGAAUGCAGUGUGUGCGGCGGAGAGGAGAAGAGGGGGUCCAAUCGGGCCCAGAUGUCAGGACCCCCAACCCCAGCCGUCUUGGGACGGAGCUCAGAGGAAGAGACCCCCACUGGGGUUCCCAGGGGCUGACUGCCCACUCGGCGCGGCUGCUCAGUGUCAGCCCCGUGGUCUGCAGAGGCAGCUGGCGCCCGGCCCGAUGCAGUCUUUGUCUCUUCUUCCUCUGAAGUCAUCCUGGGACACAGGUGUGCUUCCCCCAAAGCCAGCGGGCAGAGGGGAAGACGCGCCCCAGAGCAGCUGUCAGCUGAAACUCACCGAAGGAGCGCGGAGCCCUCCGACCGCAGCUGAGGAGAAUUCGAGGCUUGCCCGGAGAAGAAUCCCUGAGAUUCUUUAAAGGAAGAAUGCUCCCACAGAUGUGCAGCAUCUGGCCUGUGGAGGGGGUUUCCCUGCCCCGGAGAACGGAGACCAGCCAGCUCAGGAGAUGCCCAGGGGUCCAGACAAGCGGUCCCCACUCGCAGCUCUGAAUUGUGCUUCCCAGAAGGUCAAGUGCGAGCCCAAAUGCCUCUUGCUCUCCCUUAGCAGUUUUGUCCUCCGCUCCCCGCGUACUCUCCAUGGCUCCUGAUGUCUAUGGCUGAGACUGAAGACUCAUAGCCUUGCCUCCGAGCCUUGGCUUUUGCUGUUCAUUCUCCGUGCCUGUUUGGUCACCACCCCACUCCCUUUAAGUGGCCAUCUAAUUUGUUAGGACUCUUCCCACUGCAAACGAGAGAAGUCCACCUCCAUCUGGCUUUAAGCAAAACAAAAACAAAAACAAAAACAAAAACUAUUGAGUUAAAAAUUAUCGAGUAAUGUAACCUAAAGUCUAGGACUGUUUGAUUUUCAAGUUAGGUAUAGCUGGGUCUAGCUCUUCUCAGGACCUUACGUUCGCCAGUUUCUCCAGGUCUAGUCUCUGUUUUUUCUACCUUAGCUCCAGUUUCAAGCGGGUAUCAGAUGGGCUGGCCCUAGCACCCUUUCUACAGAAGGGCAUCGCUUCUUUCCUAGGCUGUAGUCCUGGGAUGGCCAUGGGUUAGCCAUCUUGGACACAUACGUGCUCACAAAUGAAUGACUCACUGGUGUCAAGGGGGAGAUGCCCAUGAUUUCUUGAGCCUAGGUCACAUGUUCCCAGCAAUCCCAGGGAAGGUAGUCUUUCUCCAAAGAAAAUAAGAAUCUUAUGAGCAUAAGGUUGAGUGAGCAUGGGACAGGGAAUGUCAACAGGCACAAUGUGCCUCUCAAGGUCAAAUUCAUUCUCAGUCUACUGUCUACAACUCUGACCUUGCUAUGCUGGCUUUCCAGGGAAGCCCAAUCCAUGGACCUCAUUUUCACCAUUGUGACUCUUCAUAGUCGGGUAUGGGGUUUAUGAACAUCACCUAUGCCAGGCAGAAUGCCAAGACCCACCAUACUUUGCACUAGUGGGACACUUGCUGGCCAUUGGUGGCCAGUGCUCUAUGCCUUACGUGUCCCUUACACUAUGCCACAUGGCUAGCACUCUGCUAACUGCCUAAUUACUCAACAAGUUUUUGUUGGGUUAAACUGCUGUGUAGACGCCAGCACUUGAGCUGGGAGUCAAGAGGUGUGCAUUGUAAUCAAGUCUCUUGACCUUGACCAACAGAAGUAGCUGUUUGAAAAGGGGACUGAGCAGGAUAAUAGCUAUUUUUGUCAAAUGCUUCCAGUUCAUGGCAUUUGCAUUCCAUUUCUCUGGAAAUGACCCUGAGAAAGGACUCAAAUGCAGCAGGACAAGCUGCUCAAGGUGGAAUGUAAGGCCAAAAAUGGGGUAAAAUUGGAAAUUUCCUUGGAGACUCCUAUAAAUGACUUACAAAGUAGCAUUUAAAAAGUUAUACCUGAAUAUUCCCAGAAAGUUCUUUAAAGUCCAGAUAUAAAACUUUUUCUUUUCAAUGCACCAGGAUGAUAUGCCAUAAAACACAGUUCAACCACACUUGGACCAAUGUUAACACCUCAGACUAAAACACUAUCUUCCCGUGAUUCCAUCUUACCUUGAAGAUGGGAGCAUCUCUAUUGCAAGCGAUUGUGUUUAUUCUUUCAGCACACAACCUUAGGGAAUGGAAGGGGGUCACUUUGUGUUAUGCUGUGUUACCAGUAGGUACAGUACCUAAGAUCGUCCUGUAGUGCCCAAUUUAUGAUUGGGCAACAAGAUUUGUCCUUUUUCCUGAUCCAAAGGGAAUCAACACUUUUAGACAAGUCCACAAAGAAGUUGUACUUAGUGAAAUAUUUGAGAUGGAUAUGGUAACAUAUUGUAUAUUAUUUAGUGAGAGCACAUAUUCUGCUAUGCAGUAUUAAAAUACAGCUGGAUAUGCACUCAGCACUGCAAGAUUUACUCCCCGCUGACUUCCAUCUAACUCAAGUCAUCUCUCAAGCCAAAGUCAGAGUCCUGGGGUUCAUUAUGGAAGAAACAGGCCACUGGGACUGGCCUUUUGCCUUGGCAUUUGGGAUUUGGAGUGG